GACCUCCAGUGAUCCACCCGGUUUGACCUCCCAAAGUGCUGAGAUUACAGGCAUGAGUCACCACACCCAGCCAAUUCUUCAAUUCUUAAAAUUCCCUUUCCAUAUCAUUAAAGAACUCACACUGGAGAGAAACCUUAUCAAUGUUAGAAUUGUGGGAAAGCCCUCUGUUGUUCCCAUUUACCUGAAAGAUGUGAACAAAGUCACAUUGUAGAAAAAUGCUAUGAGAGUUGGGAAUCUGGAACCACUUCUUUAUUAUCUCAGGUCACAAUGAACUUGUAAGAAUUCACAGUGGCAGGAAACCCUACGUAUAUGGAAAAUAUGGGAAAGGCUUCAUUGACUCCUUAGGACAGAUACCACAAAACUCCCACUAGGAGAAAACCUGUGUUUAUAAGGAAUGUGGAAAAUUCUCACUUAUUCCUCAAGCUUUAAGGUAUAUGUCAGGAUUCUCAGUGGAGAGAAGCCGUAUUGAUGUAAGGAAUGUGGGAAAGCCUUUGCCUGCUACUCAGUCCUUGAUAAACAUUUUAGAACACAAACUGGAGAGAAACUAUGAAUUCAAGAAGUGUGGCAAAACCUUUUUAUGUUCCACAAGCUUUAAUCAUACACCAAUGUAUGCUGGAGAAGAACUUGAUGAAUAUAAUAAGUGGAAUGGCCUAGAUCAGGGGUCCCCAAACCCCUGGGCCAUGGAUUGGUACUGGUCUGUGGCCUAUUAGGAUCCAGGCCGCACAGCAGGAGGUGAAUGUAGGAUGAGCAAAUAUUACUGCCUGAGCUCCACUUUCUGUCAGAUCAGCAGCGACGUUAGAUUCUCAUAGGAGCAUGAACUCUAUUGUGAACUGCACAUGCAGGGGAUCUAGGUUGCACACUCCUUAUGAGAAUCUAAUGCCUGAUGAUCUGAACUGGAACAGGUUAAUCCCCAUCUCUAGUCCGUGGGAAAAAUGUCUUCCGCGAAACUGGUCCCUGGUGCCAAAAAGUUAGGUUACCACUGUUGUAGAUUAUGUCCCAUGUCCCAUCCACCCAUUAACAUAUUAAGGCUUUCAUCCCUAGGACCUCAAGGGAUGGUACUUGGAGAUGUGGUGGUAUUUGGAGAUGGGGUUUUUUAAAGAGGUGAUUUUAAAAUGAGGCAGUUAGAAUGGGGCCCUCAUUCAAUAUGACUGGUUUCCUUACAAGAAGUGAAAGAGAUACCAGGGUAGCAGCAACAGAUGUUUAUGUGAAGUGACCAGAAAUGGUUACCUGCAAGGCAAGGAGAGAUUCCUGGAGGAAAUGCUUCUUUUAAGGCUCAUUAUAGAGGAAAUCAUCCUUAUCUACACUUCGAUCCUGGACUUCCAGCCUCCAAAAUUAUAAGCAAAUAAAUUUCUGUUGUUUAAGCCA